rnacentral:rRNA from 1 species
UCCUACGGGGCGCAGCAGUGAGGAAUAUUGGUCAAUGGCCGAGAGGCUGAACCAGCCAAGUCGCGUGAGGGAAGACGGCCCUACGGGUUGUAAACCUCUUUUGUCGGGGAGCAAAGCGAGUCACGUGUGACUCAUUGAGAGUACCCGAAGAAAAAGCAUCGGCUAACUCCGUGCCAGCAGCCGCGGUAAUACGGAGGAUGCGAGCGUUAUCCGGAUUUAUUGGGUUUAAAGGGUGCGUAGGCGGGUUAUCAAGUCAGCGGUAAAAUCGUGGAGCUCAACUCCAUCCAGCCGUUGAAACUGAUGAU